CAACUUUCAUCCUACACCGUUGAAUCGAGAAAUGAACGUCCGAGAUUCAUCCAUGUCACCAUGAGUUAAAAUUUAACUCGCAAAUUCACUCCUGAGUUAAAAUUUACUGGGAGUUAAAUUUUAACUCAUGGUGACGUGGAUGAAUCUCGAACGUCCAUUUCUCGAUCUAACGGUGUAGGAUGAGAGUUG
rnacentral:pre_miRNA from 1 species